rnacentral:rRNA from 1 species
UACGUAGGGUGCGAGCGUUGUCCGGAAUUAUUGGGCGUAAAGAGCUCGUAGGCGGUCUGUCGCGUCGAUCGUGAAAACUUGGGGCUUAACCCUGAGCUUGCGGUCGAUACGGGCAUGACUGGAGUUCGGCAGGGGAGACUGGAAUUCCUGGUGUAGCGGUGAAAUGCGCAGAUAUCAGGAGGAACACCAAUGGCGAAGGCAGCUUGCUGGGACGGUACUGACGCUGAGACGCGAAAGCGUGGGGAGCAAACAGG